UACGGAGGGGGCUAGCGUUGUUCGGAAUUACUGGGCGUAAAGGGCGCGUAGGCGGUUUACCAAGUCAGGCGUGAAAGGCCUGGGCUCAACCGAGGAACGUCGAUCGAUACUGCUGUUCUUGAGGAUUGCAGAGGAGACUGGAAUUCCCGGUGUAGCGGUGAAAUGUGUAGAGAUCGGGAGGAACACUGGUGGCGAAGGCGGGUCUCUGGGCAAUUCCUGACGCUGAGGCGCGAAAGCGUGGGGAGCAAACGGGG
rnacentral:rRNA from 1 species